GCUGCUUAGAGCUGGCCUUUGUGCUUGCUCCAUGCUGGCAACACCUGCUAUCCUUCUGGCUGGAAUUCCAGCACAGCAAGACCAAGCCAAGCCCUACGCAUGGCUUCCUAGGUGGACUAGGGAAGGAGUCCACCCUCAGGCAGGUGAGAACUGACAACGAACUGCUGGGUGCUCGUUCCUUUCUGUGCUCACAGCUCAAAGGCCAAGGGAUGUCCUGCAGGAAGCCAAGAUCCACCUCAUCAAUGUGCAGCUCUGAACAGCAGCCAGUGAUAUGUGAGGGACAUCCACACCCACAACUUUUGUGCUGGCUACCUGGAGGGAGACAUGAACAUCUGCCAGAAGCUCUCCUUUACACUGAAGACCUAGGGGCAUAUAGCUGGAAACAACCUACCCAGAAAUUGAAGAGCAAGUAAAAUAUAUCAAAGAGACAAUGAAGCACAAGAGGAUGUCUGCACACAUGUCCUGCUCAGCCCUCUCUGGAAAGAAGAAUCAGGUGGGACCUAGGGCUUAGAAGUGAUAGCUGAAUCUCCCCGAGGGAAAAUGACAUCUCUAUGCAUCCCAAACUGCAAAUAAAGCAGCAUGCUGCGGCCACAGGAGCAACUUCUACCAUUUUCUAAUAGAGGGGGAGAGAUAAGUAUAAAUAGUAAGCUAGGAUUUGUGGUGGAAUUAUAAAGACCUUCAUGUGGUUUAUGACAACACUUUAAAUGUUACUGUCUUUCCGUGAACACUUGAAAAAGAUUUGUCUUUAAAAAAAUAAAAAUUAAAAAUUCCCACAAAUUUGUCAAAAACAGUCUUACUACAAUUUUACAGCAAUGUAAAAUAGUGUUGAUAUGCUGCAAAGCACUGUUCCAGGACAUUACAAUGCAUCUUAAAAGGGGAAUGAGGACCACUGUUUUCACUUUGAAAAACAGUCUAGUAUUUUCCCUCAUACAGAAAUCUUAGAAUGAGAGAGAAAUAGAGAAAUAAACAGCCAAAUGGUAGCUUUCUGUUUCUUUGCUGAUUUCCCUUUGCAAUAAAUAGACUGUGGUAUUUGCAGAUGUUGCCAUGGUUAGAGGAAAAGCAGGGUGUCUCAGCUCCUAGGUACCUGCAGCUGUGCUGAAAUUCCAGGACAACUGUAGCCUUUCCUAAUAUGUAUCUGUAAAGAGCCAAGAGUGAUGGUUGGAGAGGCACCAUCUAACUGAGUCUUUUGGUCAAGACUUUUACCUUCAUUCAGCAGUAGGGAUUUUUCAUCCCUACUAUUCUUCCAACUACUCAGACAAGAUACUAAAUGCCAGGUUGUUGCCAGAGGAAGAGCUAUUUGCCCAGCUGGUGGAAAAAUAUAAUGCUCAUUCUGCAAACCAUACUGAACACUAACCAAAAAGAGGACACAAAAUAGUGAACCAGACUAGCACUGCCAAGUCAGCUCCAAAUUUGGGAAGAAACAUCAGGUUCAAGCAGUCAGGUAUAACUUUAGGGCGGAUGACCAACAAGGACCACCAGAGGGACCCUCGGGACAAGAGUUUUCAGUUGCUCAUAAGUAUCACUGGUGUUUCAAGUGUACCCAAGAGUGGUUUAUAGCAUAAAUGAAUGAGGAAGUUCUUUGGGGGUCAGACACCAGUGAAGCAGGGAGCCAUGACAUAGUCUGUGCUCCAGCAGGGAUGUGAUUCAUCCUAGUGCUGCCCCUGGUACCACAUCUGUCCCAGCUGAGAGCCAAUGUACAUGUCACAGCCACACGUCCUAGCUCAGGAACAUGUGCACACUCACAUCAUGCAUGUGCUACCUCACUGUUGGCAUCCAACUCCCUCGGUGAGUAAAUCCAGGUGAGGUUCAGCAGACAGUUCCUUCUGGGGACUAGUUUCUGUACAUUAUGGACAUGGCUGUGCCUCACAACGCCUCCCAGUUCUGUUUGAUCAAACUUCCUCACUCACCUUAUACAACAGCUGGGGCUGCACAACACGUCUGGGAAAUCACAUUAAAAAAAACAUUCUUGCAUGCUGCAACACAGCCUCCUCGGUAUUUACUUGCAACUUAAAACAACAAAACGUCACUAAUACAAUCAAUUAUUAAUGAGUAAUUAAUUUUAUUCAUUAUAAUUAAUGAUUACUACUACAACAUCUCAAAGCCCAAAGGUCUGCAUAACCAGAAUCCAAAUGCUAGGUAGUACUGGGACAACCCAUCCAUUGUACAGAAGAAUAGUUUUGACCAAUGGGAACAUGAGCCCUUCAGUAUCACUUGGCAUUAAAGUGGUCAGCGAUCAGUACCACCACAUUUACAACAUACCAAAGUCUUCACUUUGUGUUCUUUUUUAUUUUCCCUUCCAUGAACAAGCACUACCUCAGAGUUGGACUAGCCUGACAGUGGAUGCUAUCUCAAUCCCAGAGCUGCUCACUUCUAUAGAGGAUUUCUGACAUCAUUUCCUAUAGAAAACUCAGCCAUGCAGCUGCAUUUUGGGCUAGAUCUGAUUAUGGUUUGGUUUUGAUAUGAAAAGAAGUAGCUAGCAACAGACAAUUUAGGGGGCACAGUUUCCUCAAGGAAAAUUUACGGCAACACCAUAAAGAGCAGGACUGGGAGAAGGAAGGGUAGCUGCCACUGCAGGGACAGCCAAACAGCCAGCAGCCAGGUUUCCACACUGUGUAACCACUGCAGUGUAUCUCUGCAGCCACACUGUUCAAUGGGGAGGGCUGAAAGCUUUUGAGAUAGACUAAAUGUGAAAAAAACAAAUGCCAUGUAUGCAAAUAAAUGUAAAACUGGCUGAAGGCUCAAAGGGAUAACCCGAGGUCAAAUUAGCAAAAUUUUGAAGGUCAUUUAAUUUCAUUAACUCAUAUGUAGCAUCUUCAAGUAAUUUUUAAGCGUGUUUUUCCUAUAAAAUAUAUGUUUUCAUUAAACGCAUCAUUACUUUUAUGGUCUCUGCAAUCAAUCUCCUUUUUCUUCCUUUUUAAACAUGAGAAACCAAUCAGACAGAGACACAAACAUUUAUAUUGAUGAGUUUCUUCCUAAGUGU